rnacentral:rRNA from 1 species
GACGAACGCUGGCGGCGUGCUUAACACAUGCAAGUCGAACGGGUCUGCCCUGUUUUUUGCGGGGUGGGUCAGUGGCGAACGGGUGAGUAACACGUGAGUAACCUGCCCCUCACUUCUGGAUAACCGCUUGAAAGGGUGGCUAAUACGGGGUGUUCUGGCUGUGCCGCAUGGUGUGGCUGGGAAAGAUUCACUUUUGUGGUGUUUUGGUGGGGGAUGGGCUCGCGGCCUAUCAGCUUGUUGGUGGGGUGAUGGCCUGCAAAGGCUUUGACGGGUAGCCGGCCUGAGAGGGUGGGCGGUCACACUGGGACUGAGAUACGGCCCAGACUCCUGCGGGAGGCAGCAGUGGGGGGUAUUGCACAAUGGGCGGAAGCCUGAUGCAGCGACGUCGCGUGAGGGAUGGAGGCCUUCGGGUUGUGAACCUCUUUCGCCGGUGAAGAAGGUCCUGCUCUUUGUGGUGGGGUUGACGGUAGCCGGGUUAUGAAGCGCCGGCUAACUACGUG